GACGAACGCUGGCGGCGUGCUUAACACAUGCAAGUCGAACGGAAAGGCCCUGCUUUUGUGGGGUGCUCGAGUGGCGAACGGGUGAGUAACACGUGAGUAACCUGCCCUUGACUUUGGGAUAACGUCAGGAAACUGGGGCUAAUACCGGAUAGGAGCUCCUGCUGCCUGGUGGGGGUUGGAAAGUGUCGGCGGUUGGGGAUGGACUCGCGGCUUAUCAGCUUGUUGGUGGGGUAGUGGCUUACCAAUGCUUGGACGGGUAGCCGGCCUGAGAGGGUGACCGGCCACAUUGGGACUGAGAUACGGCCCAGACUCCUACGGGAGGCAGCAGUGGGGAAUAUUGCACAAUGGGCGGAAGCCUGAUGCAGCAACGCCGCGUGCGGGAUGACGGCCUUCGGGUUGUAAACCGCUUUCGCCUGUGACGAAGCGUGAGUGACGGUAAUGGGUAAAGAAGCACCGGCUAACUACGUG
rnacentral:rRNA from 1 species